rfam:Ictidomys tridecemlineatus contig098037, whole genome shotgun sequence.
GGGGUUGUGGCUCAGCGGUAGAGCGCUCGCCUCACACGUGCGAGGAGGCCCUGGGUUCGAUCCUCAGCACCA